rnacentral:rRNA from 1 species
CGAUGACCUGCGUGCUUGCACUGGUGAUUAGUGGCGAACGGGUGAGUAACACGUGAGUAACCUGCCCUUAACUCUGGGAUAAGCCUGGGAAACUGGGUCUAAUACCGGAUAUGACUCCUCAUCGCAUGGUGGGGGGUGGAAAGCUUUUUUGUGGUUUUGGAUGGACUCGCGGCCUAUCAGCUUGUUGGUGAGGUAAUGGCUCACCAAGGCGACGACGGGUAGCCGGCCUGAGAGGGUGACCGGCCACACUGGGACUGAGACACGGCCCAUACUCCUACGGGAGGCAGCAGUGGGGAAUAUUGCACAAUGGGCGCAAGCCUGAUGCAGCGACGCCGCGUGAGGGAUGACGGCCUUCGGGUUGUAAACCUCUUUCAGUAGGGAAGAAGCGUAAGUGACGGUACCUGCAGAAGAAGCGCCGGCUAACUACGUGCCAGCAGCCGCGGUAAUACGUACGGCGCAAGCGUUAUCCGGAAUUAUUGGGCGUAAAGAGCUCGUAGGCGGUUUGUCGCGUCUGCCGUGAAAGUCCGGGGCUCAACUCCGGAUCUGCGGUGGGUACGGGCAGACUAUAGUGAUGUAGGGGAGACUGUAAUUCCUGGUGUAGCGGUGAGAUGCGCAAAUAUCAGGAGGAACACCGAUGGCGAAAGCAGGUCUCUGGGCAUUAACUGACGCUGAGGAGCGAAAGCAUG